CUUCCAGGAUCGGGGCGGGCUCUGCGGCAGGGACGAUGCCGCUGCCGGGCCGGGGAAAGGCACCUUCCCCCCACUGCCAAAAAGCUGGGAAGGGAUAACCUCUUCCUGCAGCUGCCUGGAUUUGCUGUUGGCCCUGGGCUUUCUGUGCCCCUCGUGGCCACGGGCUGAUGGCAGGAUCGCUCCAGCCUUGGGACAGACGGCCUGAAGGGGAAGACUGAAGCAAGCGGGGCCAGAAAGAACUGGAGUUUCUGGAGAAUAAAAGCUGGAAGUAUGCCCCUGAAAAUCCCCCCCCCCCGGGUGGUCAGUGGUCUGACUUGCACGGACCGGUGGCCUUGACCAGGAGCGGAGCGGGCUUGCAGGGAGGUAUUCACCUGGUCAGCGUCAGGAACCAUCCUGAGGCCUUGGCUCCCUCUUUCCCUUCGGUCGUCGUGGGUGUGCCGGACACCUCUGGCAGGACUAACCCCGUGGCUUUUAUGUCUAACAUGCUGUAUGCCUGCAGCAUCCUGUACAAGACAAAGCUACCUUUCUUUCCUCGUGGGAAUGGACCGGCCGGGCUUUGGCAAUCUGGCCCCUCGAAAGACUAAGUGACCUCUUCCAGCAGGGGAAGACUGAAGCAAGGGGUGCCAGGAAGAACUGGAGUUUCUGGAGAAUAAAAGCUGGAAGCGUGCCCCUGAAAGUCCCCA
rnacentral:lncRNA from 1 species